UCUGGAUUAGUAUAUCGGCUAGUAUAACCGCCUCUCAAGCGAGUCCAAUUCGGACUACAAGGCCGCGGUAGAGCGGGGUUCGAUUCCCCGAUCCAGAA